AUUGAACGCUGGCGGCAUGCUUUACACAUGCAAGUCGAACGGCAGCGCGGGCUUCGGCCUGGCUGCGAGUGGCGAACGGGUGAGUAAUGCAUCGGAACGUGCCCAGUAGUGGGGGAUAGCGCGGCGAAAGCCGGAUUAAUACCGCAUACGACCUUAGGGUGAAAGCGGGGGACCGAAAGGCCUCGCGCUAUUGGAGCGGCCGAUGUCGGAUUAGCUAGUUGGUGGGGUAAAGGCUUACCAAGGCGACGAUCCGUAGCUGGUCUGAGAGGACGACCAGCCACACUGGGACUGAGACACGGCCCAGACUCCUACGGGAGGCAGCAGUGGGGAAUUUUGGACAAUGGGGGCAACCCUGAUCCAGCCAUGCCGCGUGCGGGAAGAAGGCCUUCGGGUUGUAAACCGCUUUUGUUCGGGAAGAAAUCCUCUGGGCUAAUACCCCGGGGGGAUGACGGUACCGGAAGAAUAAGCACCGGCUAACUACGUG
rnacentral:rRNA from 1 species